rnacentral:rRNA from 1 species
GACGUAGGGUGCGAGCGUUGUCCGGAUUUACUGGGCGUAAAGAGCGCGUAGGCGGUCUGUUAAGUGUAGGGUUAAAUCUCCGGGCUCAACCCGGAACCUGCCCUGCAUACUGGCAGACUGGAGGGUCGCAGAGGCUUGUGGAAUUCCCGGUGUAGCGGUGAAAUGCGUUGAUAUCGGGAGGAACACCUGUGGCGAAGGCAGCGCACUGGACCAUAACUG